AUACUUACCUGGCAGGGGAGACACCAUGAUCAGGCAGGUGAUUCUCCCAGGGCGAGGCUCUCCCAUUGCACUGCGGCUGCACUGACCCCUGCGAUUUCCCCAAAUGUGGGAAACUCGACUGCAGAGUUUGUGGUAGUGGGGACUGCGUUCAUGCUCUCCCCUA
rfam:Oryctolagus cuniculus chromosome 13, whole genome shotgun sequence.